rnacentral:lncRNA from 1 species
GCGGUUUUGGAGUUAACAGUGGCAGCCAAAAAAGCCUUGAGAGAAGAACAUCAAAGAAUACAAACUAAAGAGAAUUGAAAAAUUCUUUGGGGAGUGUGGAAUCAAGAAAACAGCACAGAUUUCUCAGCCAGAACACCAUUACUUGCUAGCUGUGGCCCCUGCACAAGCUCUUUG